GGGGCUGUAGCUCAGUUGGUAGAGUGCUUGCCUUUUGUGCAUGAAGCCCUGGGCUUGAUUCUCAGAACCUCA
rnacentral:tRNA from 1 species